rnacentral:rRNA from 1 species
AUGAAGUCGGAGUUGCUAGUAAUCGCGGAUCAGCAUGCCGCGGUGAAUACGUUCCCGGGCCUUGUACACACCGCCCGUCACACCAUGGGAGUUGGGAGUGCCCAAAGCCGGUGAGGCAACCUUCGGGAGCCAGCCGUCUAAGGCAAGACCAAUGACUGGGGUGAAGUCGUAACAAGGUAGC